rnacentral:rRNA from 1 species
UACGUAGGGUGCAAGCGUUAAUCGGAAUUACUGGGCGUAAAGCGUGCGCAGGCGGUUUUGUAAGUCUGUCGUGAAAGCCCCGGGCUCAACCUGGGAAUUGCGUUGGAGACUGCAAGGCUAGAAUCUGGCAGAGGGGGGUAGAAUUCCACGUGUAGCAGUGAAAUGCGUAGAGAUGUGGAGGAACACCGAUGGCGAAGGCAGCCCCCUGGGUCAAGAUUGACGCACAUGCACGAAAGCGUGGGGAGCAAACAGG